rnacentral:rRNA from 1 species
UGAGUAACGCGUGGGAAUCUACCCAUCUCUACGGAACAACUCCGGGAAACUGGAGCUAAUACCGUAUACGUCCUUUUGGAGAAAGAUUUAUCGGAGAUGGAUGAGCCCGCGUUGGAUUAGCUAGUUGGUGGGGUAAUGGCCUACCAAGGCGACGAUCCAUAGCUGGUCUGAGAGGAUGAUCAGCCACACUGGGACUGAGACACGGCCCAGACUCCUACGGGAGGCAGCAGUGGGGAAUAUUGGACAAUGGGCGCAAGCCUGAUCCAGCCAUGCCGCGUGAGUGAUGAAGGCCCUAGGGUUGUAAAGCUCUUUCAACGGUGAAGAUAAUGACGGUAACCGUAGAAGAAGCCCCGGCUAACUUCGUGCCAGCAGCCGCGGUAAUACGAAGGGGGCUAGCGUUGUUCGGAAUUACUGGGCGUAAAGCGCACGUAGGCGGAUACUUAAGUCAGGGGUGAAAUCCCGGGGCUCAACCCCGGAACUGCCUUUGAUACUGGGUAUCUCGAGUCCGGAAGAGGUGAGUG